UUAGAGAUAGUGACUGGCCAGAAUAUGC
rnacentral:sRNA from 1 species